rnacentral:rRNA from 1 species
UACAGAGGAUGCAAGCGUUAUCCGGAAUGAUUGGGCGUAAAGCGUCUGUAGGUGGCUUUUUAAGUCCGCCGUCAAAUCCCAGGGCUCAACUCUGGACAGGCGGUGGAAACUACCAAGCUGGAGUACGGUAGGGGCAGAGGGAAUUUCCGGUGGAGCGGUGAAAUGCGUAGAGAUCGGAAAGAACACCAACGGCGAAAGCGGCUACCUGGACAAUUGCUGACGCUCAGGCACGAAAGCGUGGGGAGCAAAAGGG